rnacentral:rRNA from 1 species
AGAGCGAACGCUGGCGGCAGGCCUAAUACAUGCAAGUCGAACGGACCCUUCGGGGUUAGUGGCGGACGGGUGAGUAACACGUGGGAACGUGCCCUUUGGUUCGGAACAACUCAGGGAAACUUGAGCUAAUACCGAAUGUGCCCCCAUCCUUAAACAAGAUGGGUGGGAAAGAUUUAUCGCCAUUGGAGCGGCCCGCGUCUGAUUAGCUAGUUGGUGAGGUAAAGGCUCACCAAGGCGACGAUCAGUAGCUGGUCUGAGAGGAUGAUCAGCCACACUGGGACUGAGACACGGCCCAGACUCCUACGGGGGGCAGCAGUGAGGAAUUUUCGUCAAUGGGGGAAACCCUGAACGAGCAACGCCGCGUGCAGGAAGACACUUUUCGGAGCGUAAACUGCUUUCUCGGGGACGAGUAAGGACGGUACCCGAGGAAUCAGCCCCGGCUAACUACGUGCCAGCAGCCGC